AUUGAACGCUGGCGGCAGGCCUAACACAUGCAAGUCGAACGAGUGGCGGACGGGUGAGUAAUGUCUGGGAAACUGCCUGAUGGCGGGGGAUAACUACUGGAAACGGUAGCUAAUACCGCAUACCCUCGGAUGAGCCCAGAUGGGAUUAGCUAUUAGGUGGGGUAAAGGCUCACCUAGGCGACGAUCCCUAGCUGGUCUGAGAGGAGGACCAGCCACACUGGGACUGAGACACGGUCCAGACUCCUACGGGAGGCAGCAGGGGGGAAUAUUGCACAAUGGGCGCAAGCCUGAUGCAGCCAUGCCGCGUGGAUGAAGAAGGCCUUCGGGUUGUAAAGUACUUUCAGCGGGGAGGCGUUACCGGCAGAAGAAGCACCGGCUAACUCCGUGACAGCAGCCGCGGUAAUUC
rnacentral:rRNA from 1 species